UGGGGAAUAUUGCACAAUGGGCGAAAGCCUGAUGCAGCGAUGCCGCGUGAGGGAAGAAGGUUUUAGGAUUGUAAACCUCUGUCUUCAGGGACGAUAAUGACGGUACCUGAGGAGGAAGCUCCGGCUAACUACGUGCC
rnacentral:rRNA from 1 species